UGGGGAUUUUCCGCAAUGGGCGAAAGCCUGACGGAGCAAUGCCGCGUGGAGGUGGAAGGCCUACGGGUCGUCAACUUCUUUUCUCGGAGAAGAAACAAUGACGGUAUCUGAGGAAUAAGCAUCGGCUAACUCUGUGCCAG
rnacentral:rRNA from 1 species